rnacentral:rRNA from 1 species
UUAAGCGACUAAGCGUACACGGUGGAUGCCCUGGCAGUCAGAGGCGAUGAAGGACGUGCUAAUCUGCGAUAAGCGUCGGUAAGGUGAUAUGAACCGUUAUAACCGGCGAUUUCCGAAUGGGGAAACCCAGUGUGAUUCGUCACACUAUCAUUAACUGAAUCCAUAGGUUAAUGAGGCGAACCGGGGGAACUGAAACAUCUAAGUACCCCGAGGAAAAGAAAUCAACCGAGAUUCCCCCAGUAGCGGCGAGCGAACGGGGAGCAGCCCAGAGCCUGAAUCAGUGUGUGUGUUAGUGGAAGCGUCUGGAAAGGCGCGCGAUACAGGGUGACAGCCCCGUACACAAAAAUGCACAUACUGUGAGCUCGAUGAGUAGGGCGGGACACGUGGUAUCCUGUCUGAAUAUGGGGGGACCAUCCUCCAAGGCUAAAUACUCCUGACUGACCGAUAGUGAACCAGUACCGUGAGGGAAAGGCGAAAAGAACCCCGGCGAGGGGAGUGAAAAAGAACCUGAAACCGUGUACGUACAAGCAGUGGGAGCACGCUUCGGCGUGUGACUGCGUACCUUUUGUAUAAUGGGUCAGCGACUUAUAUUCUGUAGCAAGGUUAACCGAAUAGGGGAGCCGAAGGGAAACCGAGUCUUAACUGGGCGUUAAGUUGCAGGGUAUAGACCCGAAACCCGGUGAUCUAGCCAUGGGCAGGUUGAAGGUUGGGUAACACUAACUGGAGGACCGAACCGACUAAUGUUGAAAAAUUAGCGGAUGACUUGUGGCUGGGGGUGAAAGGCCAAUCAAACCGGGAGAUAGCUGGUUCUCCCCGAAAGCUAUUUAGGUAGCGCCUCGUGAAUUCAUCUCCGGGGGUAGAGCACUGUUUCGGCAAGGGGGUCAUCCCGACUUACCAACCCGAUGCAAACUGCGAAUACCGGAGAAUGUUAUCACGGGAGACACACGGCGGGUGCUAACGUCCGUCGUGAAGAGGGAAACAACCCAGACCGCCAGCUAAGGUCCCAAAGUCAUGGUUAAGUGGGAAACGAUGUGGGAAGGCCCAGACAGCCAGGAUGUUGGCUUAGAAGCAGCCAUCAUUUAAAGAAAGCGUAAUAGCUCACUGGUCGAGUCGGCCUGCGCGGAAGAUGUAACGGGGCUAAACCAUGCACCGAAGCUGCGGCAGCGACGCUUAUGCGUUGUUGGGUAGGGGAGCGUUCUGUAAGCCUGCGAAGGUGUGCUGUGAGGCAUGCUGGAGGUAUCAGAAGUGCGAAUGCUGACAUAAGUAACGAUAAAGCGGGUGAAAAGCCCGCUCGCCGGAAGACCAAGGGUUCCUGUCCAACGUUAAUCGGGGCAGGGUGAGUCGACCCCUAAGGCGAGGCCGAAAGGCGUAGUCGAUGGGAAACAGGUUAAUAUUCCUGUACUUGGUGUUACUGCGAAGGGGGGACGGAGAAGGCUAUGUUGGCCGGGCGACGGUUGUCCCGGUUUAAGCGUGUAGGCUGGUUUUCCAGGCAAAUCCGGAAAAUCAAGGCUGAGGCGUGAUGACGAGGCACUACGGUGCUGAAGCAACAAAUGCCCUGCUUCCAGGAAAAGCCUCUAAGCAUCAGGUAACAUCAAAUCGUACCCCAAACCGACACAGGUGGUCAGGUAGAGAAUACCAAGGCGCUUGAGAGAACUCGGGUGAAGGAACUAGGCAAAAUGGUGCCGUAACUUCGGGAGAAGGCACGCUGAUAUGUAGGUGAGGUCCCUCGCGGAUGGAGCUGAAAUCAGUCGAAGAUACCAGCUGGCUGCAACUGUUUAUUAAAAACACAGCACUGUGCAAACACGAAAGUGGACGUAUACGGUGUGACGCCUGCCCGGUGCCGGAAGGUUAAUUGAUGGGGUUAGCGCAAGCGAAGCUCUUGAUCGAAGCCCCGGUAAACGGCGGCCGUAACUAUAACGGUCCUAAGGUAGCGAAAUUCCUUGUCGGGUAAGUUCCGACCUGCACGAAUGGCGUAAUGAUGGCCAGGCUGUCUCCACCCGAGACUCAGUGAAAUUGAACUCGCUGUGAAGAUGCAGUGUACCCGCGGCAAGACGGAAAGACCCCGUGAACCUUUACUAUAGCUUGACACUGAACAUUGAGCCUUGAUGUGUAGGAUAGGUGGGAGGCUUAGAAGUGUGGACGCCAGUCUGCAUGGAGCCGACCUUGAAAUACCACCCUUUAAUGUUUGAUGUUCUAACGUUGACCCGUAAUCCGGGUUGCGGACAGUGUCUGGUGGGUAGUUUGACUGGGGCGGUCUCCUCCUAAAGAGUAACGGAGGAGCACGAAGGUUGGCUAAUCCUGGUCGGACAUCAGGAGGUUAGUGCAAUGGCAUAAGCCAGCUUGACUGCGAGCGUGACGGCGCGAGCAGGUGCGAAAGCAGGUCAUAGUGAUCCGGUGGUUCUGAAUGGAAGGGCCAUCGCUCAACGGAUAAAAGGUACUCCGGGGAUAACAGGCUGAUACCGCCCAAGAGUUCAUAUCGACGGCGGUGUUUGGCACCUCGAUGUCGGCUCAUCACAUCCUGGGGCUGAAGUAGGUCCCAAGGGUAUGGCUGUUCGCCAUUUAAAGUGGUACGCGAGCUGGGUUUAGAACGUCGUGAGACAGUUCGGUCCCUAUCUGCCGUGGGCGCUGGAGAACUGAGGGGGGCUGCUCCUAGUACGAGAGGACCGGAGUGGACGCAUCACUGGUGUUCGGGUUGUCAUGCCAAUGGCACUGCCCGGUAGCUAAAUGCGGAAGAGAUAAGUGCUGAAAGCAUCUAAGCACGAAACUUGCCCCGAGAUGAGUUCUCCCUGACCCUUUAAGGGUCCUGAAGGAACGUUGAAGACGACGACGUUGAUAGGCCGGGUGUGUAAGCGCAGCGAUGCGUUGAGCUAACCGGUACUAAUGAACCGUGAGGCUUAACCUU